rnacentral:lncRNA from 1 species
UUCCAAUCCCAACUCUAUUUAAAUGUGACGCAAAUGAUGCAUCAAUAUUGCAUUUUGAAUCGCCCCGGGGUCGGACUUUUCCAAUUAACAACAGUCGAAUAUGUAUGCGCCGAACCAGGCUCAGCCGUUGUAGCAUUCAGCAAAGGACCAUCCUGUAUCAGACCUGAAGCAGUCGCAAGUUCAGCCUGCAUCAGACCUGAAACAGAACAGAAU